GACUCGGAAUAUUUCUGAUUCUUUACUAUUUUAUACAUUUCUUUAUUUUUCUAAUAGUUUUCUGAUUUUUUGUUUUAACACAGUAACGCUCACAAAUACUUCAAGCUAUGAUGUACUGAGCAGGUGAUGGUUGUAUGUGAAGUUGGUUCUUGGAUAUGAAUAUGCGAAUCAAAUGAGCAAAGGGUUGAUGAAAUGAAUGAAGACGCUAUUUAGAAUCAUGAGAUUGUUGCACAAAUCAUUAGUGUGUUCAAAUAUUUUAUGAACUCUUAGUUUAGAAUUUUUCUUAUUACCAUGUGAACAUAUAUGCUCUCUAGUUGCUAGACACUAUUUUGCAUUUUGCUUUUAUUGGUGGAUAUUUGGAAAUUGGAAUUAUGGUUGGUGAACAUUUUACUUCCGUGAUUUGUAUAUAUUUUGUGCGUCAUGUCUUA